AGCCCUCCUGGCUUAGUGGGUAAGCCGCUCUGCGAAUGCACUGAGCGGUCGCGGGUUCGAUUCCUGCGGGGCUG
rnacentral:tRNA from 1 species